rnacentral:misc_RNA from 1 species
CUCUGAUCUUCCCUUCGAAUUUGUCCCUCUCCCUUGGAGUGUAAGAAGCAGUAUACACAUCAGCUUCUCUUGCCCUCUCUGCUAAAAUGCGGCCAAUGGCCAAACAUGCUGGUAUGUCUGAACGGGACCUGAGCGCAGCUUUAAUGUCUUUAGAGUUAGUACCGGCAACUGCAACCUGCUUACUUGUUACCCUGUGGGUGAGUGAUGCUGAAACAAAGCGCUUUGAGAUAAACACAUCAAGCGUAAAUGGCUCCAUGUAUGCUUUGGUCCGUUGCUUAAAUGACAUAUGCUUGUUGGGAUUUUUUGACUUCUUUUCUUUCUGGUAAGUAUACGGCCUACUGUUGUCGUCAUCAAGGAAAUCUUCCACCCCAAAGAAGCUUCUAGGUGCACAAUAAACCUGUCCACUGUGGAAGCCUCUGAUGGGCACAUAAAAGCAAGGUCUAAGCUUGUCUCCUCCAUUUGUGAAAGGUCCUUUGUUCAAAACCUUGUCAAGUACUUGCUUCAACAUAUCUGCAAUUCCGCGAUUCUGACAGAG